rnacentral:rRNA from 1 species
GAGAGUUAAACAGUACGUGAAAUUGUUGAAAGGGAAACGAUUGAAGUCAGUCAUACCAACGGGAAAUCAACCUUUUGAGUUUGGUCUCGUGGGUUUUGAAGAGUUUAAAAGCCUUCGGAUUUUCGAGAUUGGGUUCUUCUGGUGUACUUUCUCGUACGGUUAGUCAACAUCGGUUUUGAAUGUCAUAAAAUGACUGGAGGAAUGUGGCUUCGAUCUCGUAUUGAAGUGUUAUAGCCUUUGGUAGAUGUGAUGUUGAAGACCGAGGAUUGCAACGGAUACCCUUCUGGGCUAUUCGUCUGAUCUCUGAAACGUUGCCUUGAUGUCGAAAGCUUGCUUAUGAUGUUAGGGUAUUACGAUCAAAAGGUUAGAACGGAUUAAAUUCGUUAAGGAUGUUGACGUAAUGACUUUAAACGA